GACGAACGCUGGCGGCGUGCCUAAUACAUGCAAGUAGAACGCUGAAGAGAGGAGCUUGCUCUUCUUGGAUGAGUUGCGAACGGGUGAGUAACGCGUAGGUAACCUGCCUGGUAGCGGGGGAUAACUAUUGGAAACGAUAGCUAAUACCGCAUAAAAUCGAUUAUUGCAUGAUAAUUAAUUGAAAGAUGCAAUUGCAUCACUACCAGAUGGACCUGCGUUGUAUUAGCUAGUUGGUGAGGUAACGGCUCACCAAGGCGACGAUACAUAGCCGACCUGAGAGGGUGAUCGGCCACACUGGGACUGAGACACGGCCCAGACUCCUACGGGAGGCAGCAGUAGGGAAUCUUCGGCAAUGGGGGGAACCCUGACCGAGCAACGCCGCGUGAGUGAAGAAGGUUUUCGGAUCGUAAAGCUCUGUUGUAAGAGAAGAACGGGUGUGAGAGUGGAAAGUUCACACUGUGACGGUAUCUUACCAGAAAGGGACGGCUAACUACGUGCCAGCAGCCGCGGUAAUACGUAGGUCCCGAGCGUUGUCCGGAUUUAUUGGGCGUAAAGCGAGCGCAGGCGGUUAGAUAAGUCUGAAGUUAAAGGCUGUGGCUUAACCAUAGUAUGCUUUGGAAACUGUUUAACUUGAGUGCAGAAGGGGAGAGUGGAAUUCCAUGUGUAGCGGUGAAAUGCGUAGAUAUAUGGAGGAACACCGGUGGCGAAAGCGGCUCUCUGGUCUGUAACUGACGCUGAGGCUCGAAAGCGUGGGGAGCAAACAGGAUUAGAUACCCUGGUAGUCCACGCCGUAAACGAUGAGUGCUAGGUGUUAGGCCCUUUCCGGGGCUUAGUGCCGCAGCUAACGCAUUAAGCACUCCGCCUGGGGAGUACGACCGCAAGGUUGAAACUCAAAGGAAUUGACGGGGGCCCGCACAAGCGGCGGAGCAUGUGGUUUAAUUCGAAGCAACGCGAAGAACCUUACCAGGUCUUGACAUCCCUCUGACCGCUCUAGAGAUAGAGUUUUCCUUCGGGACAGAGGUGACAGGUGGUGCAUGGUUGCCGUCAGCUCGUGUCGUGAGAUGUUGGGUUAAGUCCCGCAACGAGCGCAACCCCUAUUGUUAGUUGCCAUCAUUGAGUUGGGCACUCUAGCGAGACUGCCGGUAAUAAACCGGAGGAAGGUGGGGAUGACGUCAAAUCAUCAUGCCCCUUAUGACCUGGGCUACACACGUGCUACAAUGGCUGGUACAACGAGUCGCAAGCCGGUGACGGCAAGCUAAUCUCUGAAAGCCAGUCUCAGUUCGGAUUGUAGGCUGCAACUCGCCUACAUGAAGUCGGAAUCGCUAGUAAUCGCGGAUCAGCACGCCGCGGUGAAUACGUUCCCGGGCCU
rnacentral:rRNA from 1 species